UACGUAGGGGCAAGCGUUGUCCGGAUUUAUUGGGCGUAAAGAGCGUGUAGGCGGCUAGAUAGGUCCGUUGUGAAAACUCGAGGGCUCAACCUCGAGACGUCGAUGGAAACCAUCUGGCUAGAGUCCGGAAGAGGAGAGUGGAAUUCCGUGGUGUAGCGGUGAAAUGCGCAGAUAUCAGGAAGAACACCCGUGGCGAAGGCGGCUCUCUGGGACGGGUACUGACGCUGAGACGCGAAAGCGUGGGGAGCGAACAGG
rnacentral:rRNA from 1 species